rnacentral:rRNA from 1 species
AUGUUUAACGAUAUCAUCCGACACCAAAACCUCAUUGAGUUACCUGUUAAAGGACGCACCUACACCUGGAGCAACAUGCAGCACGACCCGCUUUUAGAACAAUUGGAUUGGUUCUUUACGUCGAUCCACUGGACAAAUGCAUACCCCAAAACUCUAGUCAAGCCG